rnacentral:rRNA from 1 species
GACGAACGCUGGCGGCGUGCUUAACACAUGCCAGUCGAACGGAAAGGCCCUGCUUUUGUGGGGUGCUCGAGUGGCGAACGGGUGAGUAACACGUGAGUAACCUGCCCUUGACUUUGGGAUAACUUCAGGAAACUGGGGCUAAUACCGGAUAGGAGCUCCUGCUGCAUGGUGGGGGUUGGAAAGUUUCGGCGGUUGGGGAUGGACUCGCGGCUUAUCAGCUUGUUGGUGGGGUAGUGGCUUACCAAGGCUUUGACGGGUAGCCGGCCUGAGAGGGUGACCGGCCACAUUGGGACUGAGAUACGGCCCAGACUCCUACGGGAGGCAGCAGUGGGGAAUAUUGCACAAUGGGCGGAAGCCUGAUGCAGAAACGCCGCGUGCGGGAUGACGGCCUUCGGGUUGUAAACCGCUUUCGCCUGUGACGAAGCGUGAGUGACGGUAAUGGGUAAAGAAGCACCGGCUAACUACGUG